GGCAUGCUGGUUAAUAACAGCUUGGAAGUUACAUAAAUGUCCAACAAUAGGGAAUCAGUUAAGAACAAAAUUCAUCACAGUACAUAUAUAUAAUAUAGGACUUUGCAACCAUUUAAAAACUAUGUAAAAGAAGCUGGGUGGAGUGCUGGAUGCCUGUAGUCUCAGCUACUUGGGAGGCUGAGGCAGGAGAAUUGCUUGAACCUGGGAGGUGGAGGUUGCAGUUGCAGUGAGCCAAGAUCAUGCCACUGCACUCCAGCCAGGGGGAAAAAGCAAGACUCUGUCUCAAAAACAAAACAAAAAAAUGUGCCAUGCCUAGACCUGAUAUCGAUCACAAGAAACUGGACUUUCAGCCUAAUGGCAGAAUUGGAUGAGUCUUUUAGGGAUCCUGCAGUAGGGAAUGAAUAUAUUUUGUGUAUGGAGAGAACAUAAGUAACUGUAUAGAGAGGCAAGAUGAGGUGGUUCACGCCUGUAAUCCCAGCACUUUGCAGGACAGAGGCAGGAGGAUAGCUUGAGGUCAGGAGUUUGAGACUAGCCUGGGCAACAUUUUGUAGAGACCUUGUCUUUAAAAAGAUUUAAAUAAAAAAUUAGCUGGGCAUGGUAGCACGCAUUUGUGGUCCUAGCUACUCAGGAGGCUGAGGUGGAAGGAUCACUUGAACAGGAGUUUGAGGCUGCAGUGAGCUGUGAUACUGCCCUAGCACUCUAGCUUGGGCAACAGAGUGAGACCCUGUCUUGGGGGGGGAAAAAAAAACCUGUGGACAGAGGGCAGACUGUGGUAAAUUGAUUGCAUCAAUGGUUCCAAGUCUUCACCCCUCCCUGUGUCCACACCCUUUGCCCUGUGAAUUUGCAAUUUCUUCCGUAACAGAAGCAGAGUCUAUUUCCCCACCCUCCUGAAGAAUCUGAGUUUGGCCAUGUGACUUGCUUUAGCCAUUAUGAUGUUAGCUGACAAACACAAGUAGAGGUUUGAAAAAUGGCCUGUGUGUUUCUGCUUCUUCUCUUGCUUCUCUGUGAUCACCGUGGGAACACACCCAGAACAUUCCCAGGCUGACCUGCUGAAGGGAUGUGAAUGACACAUGGAAGGAAGCUGACUUGUUCCAGCUGAGGUUAUCCUAGGCAAGGCAGCCCUCAGCUGACCUGCCAGCUGUCUACAAACCUUUUUUUUCAAACACUGUCUUUUUUUUUCUUUUUCUUGAAACAUGGUCUCAUUCCAUCACCCAGGCUGGAGUGCAGUGGCUCGAUCACAACUCACUACAGCCUCCAUCUCCCAUGCUCACUCGAGUGAGCCUUCCACUCAGCCUCCCAAGUAGCUGGGAUUAGGAGCCACUACCUUGCACAGCUAAACCUCAAUUUCUCUAUCUGCUAAAUGGGCAUACUCCAAAAACUUGUGAAAAUUAAAUAAGAUAAAAUAGACAAAGAGUAUAAUGUAGUAGCAGGCACACAUUGUAAAAACUCAACAAAGUCCUAACUAUUUUCUUUUUCUUUUCUUUUGAAACAGGGUCUCGCUCUGUCACCCAGACUGGAGUGCAGUGGUGCGAUCAUGACUCACUUCAAUCUCUACUUCCUGGGAACAAGCAAUCCUCCCACCCCAGCCUCUUGAGUAGCUGGGACCUCAGACACACCCUGCUAAUUUCUGUAUUUUUUUAAGAGACAGGGUCUCCCUAUGUUGCCCAGUGUGGUUUGGAACUUCUGGGCUCAAGCCAUCCACCCACCUCAGCCUCCCAAAGUGCUGAGAUUAUGGGUGUGAGCCACCACGUCCAGCCUAUUUAAUUUUUUUUUU
ensembl:lncRNA